UACAGAGGUCUCAAGCGUUGUUCGGAAUUACUGGGCGUAAAGCGUGUGUAGGCGGCGCGGUAAGUCGGGUGUGAAAUCUUGGAGCUUAACUCCGAAACUGCAUUCGAUACUGCCGUGCUUGAGGACUGGAGAGGAGACUGGAAUUUACGGUGUAGCGGUGAAAUGCGUAGAUAUCGUAAGGAAGACCAGUGGCGAAGGCGGGUCUCUGGACAGUUCCUGACGCUGAGGCACGAAGGUCAGGGGAGCAAACGGG
rnacentral:rRNA from 1 species